rnacentral:rRNA from 1 species
GGAUGAACGCUGGCGGCGUGCUUAACACAUGCAAGUCGAACGGUGAAGCCAAGCUUGCUUGGUGGAUCAGUGGCGAACGGGUGAGUAACACGUGAGCAACCUGCCCUGGACUCUGGGAUAAGCGCUGGAAACGGCGUCUAAUACUGGAUAUGAGCCUCUUCCGCAUGGUGGGGGUUGGAAAGAUUUUUUGGUCUGGGAUGGGCUCGCGGCCUAUCAGCUUGUUGGUGAGGUAAUGGCUCACCAAGGCGUCGACGGGUAGCCGGCCUGAGAGGGUGACCGGCCACACUGGGACUGAGACACGGCCCAGACUCCUACGGGAGGCAGCAGUGGGGAAUAUUGCACAAUGGGCGAAAGCCUGAUGCAGCAACGCCGCGUGAGGGAUGACGGCCUUCGGGUUGUAAACCUCUU